CCUACGGGUGGCAGCAGUGAGGAAUAUUGGUCAAUGGCCGGAAGGCUGAACCAGCCAUGCCGCGUGAAGGUUAGUGCCCUAUGGGCGUUAAACUUCUUUUGUGCGGGAGCAAUAAUGGUCACGUGUGGCCAGACGAGCGUACCGUACGAAUAAGCACCGGCGGAAUUCGUCGCAGCAGACGCGGUAAAACGGGGGAUGCAAGCGUUAUCCGGUAUUAUUGGGUCUAAAGGGUGCGUAGGCUGGGAGGUAAGUCAGCGGUGGAAUACCCCCAUUCAACGGAGUGAUGUGCCAUUGAUACUACGUUGCUGGAGUGCGGAUGCGGUAGGAGGAAUGUGUGGUGUAGCGGUGAAAUGCAUAGAUAUCACACAGAACACCGAUUGCGAAGGCAUCUCAC
rnacentral:rRNA from 1 species